rnacentral:rRNA from 1 species
UGUUGAAGAUUAAGCCAUGCAUGUGUAAGUAUAAAGACCUAGUAGGAUGAAACUGCGGACGGCUCAUUACAACAGUUAUAGUUUCUUUGGUUAGUACGAAAAGGAUAACUCUGUUAAUUGUAGAGCUAAUACUUGAGACACUCCACCUUCCCUCGGGAUUGUGGCGACCACACUUCGGUGCGGUUAAUAAUUAUUCCAUUCUGAAUGCUGGAAUAAGGACAAUUGUAGAAUCCUACGGAUUUUAACUGACAAGUAACCAAUGAGAAUUUCUGACUUAUCAACCAGUAGGUAAGGUAGUGGCUUACCUUGGUGAUCACGAGUAACGAGAAAUAAGGGUUUGACAUCGGAGAGGGAGCCUUAAAAAUGGCUACCACUUCCAAGGAAGGCAGCAGGCGCGAAAAUUACCCACUUGGGACACCCAGAGGUAGUGAAGACAAAUAACUAAAUGCUGUCCACUGGAUAGCGUUUAAGGGAUGAGCUAGACGUUAACACUCUAGCGAAAGCGAUUGGAGGGCAAGUCUGGUGCCAGCAGCCGCGGUAAUUCCAGCUCCAAUAGUGUAUAUUAAAGUUGUUGUGAUUAAAAAGCUCGUAGUUGAAUAUGACAAGAACUUUGGCGCUGUUUCUCCCUCGGGAGCGACAGUGGUCAAGUAUAGUUCUAAACACCUUCAAUCACUCUUUUCGGAGGGUGGCUGGAGAUAUUUACUUUGAAUAAAUAUGAGUGUUUAAAGCAAAGCAAAAGCUAAUAAAAUAUGAAGCAUGGGAUAAUAGAGAGGAGAUACCCAUCCCAACCACAUUGUGGGUGGCGGGUAUUUCUAGAUAAGGAUUAAUAGAAAGAGAUGGGGUGAUUUAUACGGAAAUGGGAGAGGUGAAAAUCCAUGAUCAUUUUAGGAUAAACUGAAGCGAAAGCAUUUCACUUAAAUCUGUUCAUUAAUCAAGAACGAAAGUUAGGGGAUCGAAGACGAUUAGAUACCGUCGUAGUCCUAACUAUAAACGAUGUCAACGAAGGAUUGGAUUGAACCUUUAUCACACUGUCUCGACAGAGUGGUAGUAUACUUCAGUUCAGGACUUUAGGGGAAACCUAUAGUUAAUGGACUUCAGGGGGAGUAUGCUCGCAAGGGUGAAACUUAAAGGAAUUGACGGAAGGGCACACCAGGAGUGGAGCCUGCGGCUUAAUUUGACUCAACACGGGAAAACUUACCAAGACCAGACAUUAAGAGGAGUGACAGAGUAAGGGAACUUUCAUGAUUUGAUGGAGAGUGGUGCAUGGCCGUUCUUAGUUGGUGGAGUGAUUUGUCAGGUUUAUUCCGAUAACGAACGAGACUUCAAUCUUUAAUUAGAUUACGCAGCACCUGGUUGCGCAAGUCAGCAAUGACCCUCAAACGAGGUCUUCUUAAAGAGACUCUUGGCAAUUUUCUGGACUGCGGACCUACCCACCGGGAGGAUUCGCAGGCGGAAGAAGCUAAGGGAAGAGAAGCAAUAACAGGUCUGUGAUGCCCUUAGACAUCUUGGGCUGCACGCGUGCUACAAUAUCUAUUUUCAAGAGUACAUCAACAGUCAAUAGGAAGCAGUAGGCUCUCGCGAGCUUAGUGUUUUGACUAGGGCUGAACACCUUUUCCGAAAGGAGUGGGAAAACUCGUAAGAUAGAUGUAACAGGGAUUAAUGAUUGGAAUUAUUUGUUAUGGAACGAGGAAUUCCUUGUAAAAUUUUGUCACUAACGAAAGUUGAAUACGUCCCUGCCCUUUGUACACACCGCCCGUCGCUCCUACCGAUUGAAUAAAAAGAUGAAGGUUUAGGAGGAAUCAUCUUUGGAUGAGCCGAAUGGAUCUGAAUCUCUUUAUUUAGAGG